rnacentral:lncRNA from 1 species
AUGUCUCUAGUUCAGGCACUGCCUGUGCCCACUGAUCACCCGAAGCCCAGCGCUGACAUCCAGCAGUGCUGCUCAGUGUCUCACUCCCCCACCGUAGCUGCGGCAGGCACCAUGGGCUCCGUCAGCAGCCUUAUCUCUGGACGUACCUACCAGGAGCGUCACUGCCGAGCUGCCAGCGACUUUGGCGCCAAGUAUCGCAAACCCACACCAACUACGAGCUGUUUCCGACAGCAAGAGGGCACGCUGCGCAGUGCCAGCUCACAGGAGCAGCUUCUCACCAGACAGCCUCCUCUACCUGCUAAGAACAAGUCCUCUGCCCUCAUCUCUGCUGGCAAUGGCAACUAUGGCUAUUUGAGUGAUGAGCCAGUGGGCGACUGGAAUGAUAAUCAUCCUCCUGAUAACAGAGGCAUGAAUGGUAACAUUGGUGGCCCUCCUCCCAAACUCAUCCCAGUGUCAGGGAAGCUGGAAAAGGUGAGUCCGGGGACACUGAUCCGUCCCACUGCCUUUAAGCCGGUUGUGCCCAAGAAUCGCAACUCUGUGCAGUACCUGUCUCCACGGUCAGGGGGCAGUCUGACUGAAAGCCAGGGCAGCCUCAACCUCUUACUUCCUGGCACUGGAGCAUUGUUGGGUUGUCAGGAGAAGCGUAACUCUUACAGUGGGGGGCGCAACGCACGGAAUAGCCAAUCCUGCACUAUGUCGGACUCAGGCCGCAACUCACUCUCCAGUCUACCAACCUACAGCAGCACAGGGUACAGCCUGGCACAGAGCGAGGUUCCCACCGGGCACAUGGAAACCACACGCUCCAGUGGUGGCCACGGACACUCUAACUCUGACAGUGGUCGGUCAUCAUCCAGUAAGAGCACAGGGUCUUUAAGUGGCCGUGGGCAGCCCCUCUCAGACAGUGGAUCGUGUGGCCGCUCCCCGGCUCCAGGAGAAGGGUAUGAGGGCGUCAUUCGGGAACUUGAGGAGAAGCUGAGGGAAAGAGACCUCCAUCUGUCAGGUGACAAUCUAAAAUCAUAUGUCUUUUCCAUGCAGGUGUAUGAGGAGAAACAGAAGCGGUGUGAGCAAGAGUUGGAGGACCUUCGGCAGAGCUGUGCAUCGAAAAUGAAGCAGGUGCAGCUGAAGGCACAACGGGCACAACAGGUCCUGCAGUUGCAGGUGUUCCAGCUGCAGCAAGAGAAGAAGAAAUUGCAGGAGGACUUCUCCCAACUGCUGCAGGAACGGGAGGCAUUGGAGAAGAGAUGUGCCUCUUUUGAGAAGGAGCAGACUCAACUAGGUCCUCGUCUAGAAGAGACAAAGUGGGAGGUCUGUCAGAAGUCUGGUGAGAUCUCUCUGCUGAAGCAGCAGCUGAAGGAUGUACAGGCUGAUCUUGGUCAGAAGGCCAGCGAGAUUGUUGCUUUGAAGGCCCAGUUGAGAGAGGCUCGUUCCGAGCUUCAAGCUAGCCAGGCUCGCUCGCAGGAAGCCCACGCCACAGCCCGCACCCGUACACUCGAACUUGAGGUUUGCGAGAAUGAGCUGCAGCGUCGUAAAAGCGAAGCGGAGCUCCUGCGGGAGAAGGUGGGCCGUUUGGAAGAGUCCAUCCGUCUUAAAGAGACCCUGGCAGUGCCCCCGUUCCAAACUCUACCUUCUAAGGGCCAAUGCAUGAGCUUGCCCCUGCCCCAAAGCCGUGGGGGAAUCACUCACGGGAUCAGUCCUGCUUUCCGGGACAACAGCAGUGAAGAGCAGUUUCUAGCAUAUGAAAGCGAUGAAGCGAAGGUGCAGCGUCAGAGCGUGGAUGUGCUUCAUGGUCUCCGUCAGCAGGUGGACCGAAUGCGGGCUGAGCUGAUGUAUGAGAGGAGGCGGAGUGAGGACCAGCUGGAGGCCUUUGAGGAUGAACGCAGGGUAUGGCAGGAGGAGAAAGACAAGGUGAUUCGUUACCAGAAGCAGCUGCAGCAGAACUACAUCCAGAUGUACCGCAGAAACCGAGACCUAGAACGUGUGAUGAGAGAACUUAGUCUUGAGCUGGAGAACAGGGACAUGGAGGAGUUUGACAUGCGUAGCAAUGAGAUCCAUUUUGAGGAGAUCACUGCCACUGAAAUCUAAGCCACAUCUCACUCUGCCAUCCCAAAAUGAAUUUCCACUGAGGUUGUGUGAGGAGCACUGGCCUUCACUGCAGUAUUUUUGGCAUGCUUCUCCACACUAUUUCAGAAAGACUUAUGUUCAAGGCAAGUUAUUGUUGUGAUGUCCGCAGAGGCCAAUAAAAUAUGUAACAUUUGUAUUUAGACA